rnacentral:rRNA from 1 species
GACGAACGCUGGCGGCGUGCUUAACACAUGCAAGUCGAACGGAAAGGCCCUGCUUGUGGGGUGUUCGCGAGGGGCAAGCGGGUGUGUAACGCGGGAGUAACCUGCCCUUGACUGGGGUAUACCUGGGAGACACGGUGGCAUAUAGGAUAGGACAACGCCGUCGGCGUGGUGGUGGUAAGAUAUUUUCCGGUUGGGGAGGGGCACGCGGCUUAUCAGCUUGUUGGUGGGGUAGUGUGCUACGAAGGCGUUGAGAGGUAGACGGCCUGUGAGGGUGAACGGCAAUAGUGGGACUGAGCUACGGACCAGACUACUACGGGAGGCAGUAGUGGGGAAUACUGAACAAUGGGAGGAAGGCUGCUGCAGCAACGCCGCGUGCGGGAUGACGGCCUUCUGGUUGUAAACCGUCUUCGCCUGUGAAGCAGCGUGAGUGACGGUAAUGGGUAAAGAAGCACCGGCUAACUACGUG